GACGAACGCUGGGGGCGUGCUUAACACAUGCAAGUCGAACGGAAAGGCCCUGCUUUUGUGGGGUGCUCGAGUGGCGAACGGGUGAGUAACACGUGAGUAACCUGCCCCUGACUUUGGGAUAACUUCAGGAAACUGGGGCUAAUACCGGAUAGGAGCUCCUGCUGCAUGGUGGGGGUUGGAAAGUUUCGGCGGUUGGGGAUGGACUCGCGGCUUAUCAGCUUGUUGGUGGGGUAGUGGCUUACCAAGGCUUUGACGGGUAGCCGGCCUGAGAGGGUGACCGGCCACAUUGGGACUGAGAUACGGCCCAGACUCCUACGGGAGGCAGCAGUGGGGAAUAUUGCACAAUGGGCGGAAGCCUGAUGCAGCAACGCCGCGUGCGGGAUGACGGCCUUCGGGUUGUAAACCGCUUUCGCCUGUGACGAAGCGUGAGUGACGGUAAUGGGUAAAGAAGCACCGGCUAACUACGUG
rnacentral:rRNA from 1 species